AUUGAACGCUGGCGGCAGGCCUAACACAUGCAAGUCGAACGAGGGGCGGACGGGUGAGGAAUGUCUGGGAACCUGGUAGAUGGGGGGGGAUAACUGCUGGAAACGGUAGUUAAUACUGCGUACAAUUGGACCUAGGCAGAUGGGAUUAGCUGGUGGGUGAGGUAACGGCUCACCUAGGCGACGAUCCCUAGCUGGUCUGAGAGGAUGACCAGCCACACUGGAACUGAGACACGGUCCAGACUCCUACGGGAGGCAGCAGUGGGGAAUAUUGCACAAUGGGCGCAAGCCUGAUGCAGCCAUGCCGCGUGUAUGAAGAAGGUCUUCGGGUUGUAAAGUACUUUCAGUGGGGAGGCGUUACCCGCAGAAUAAGCACCGGCUAACUCCGUGCCAGCAGCCGCGGUAAUAC
rnacentral:rRNA from 1 species